UAAUAGAUUGAAAAAAGAAUUUCAGGUUCUGU
rnacentral:piRNA from 1 species